UGAGGAAUAUUGGUCAAUGGACGCAAGUCUGAACCAGCCAUGCCGCGUGAAGGAUGAAGGCGUUAUGCGUUGUAAACUUCUUUUAUCUGGGAAGAAACCUAAGUAUUCUUACUUAGCCGACGGUACCAGAGGAAUAAGCACCGGCUAACUCCGUGCCAGCAGCCGCGGUAAUACGGAGGGUGCAAGCGUUAUCCGGAUUUACUGGGUUUAAAGGGUGUGUAGGCGGACUUUUAAGUCAGUGGUGAAAUCUCCGGGCUCAACCCGGAAACUGCCAUUGAUACUAUUGGUCUUGAAUAUUGUGGAGGUGGGCGGAACGGGUCAUGUAGCGGUGAAAUGCUUAGAGAUGACCCGGAACACCGAUUGCGAAGGCAGCCCACUACGCAAUGAUUGACGCUGAGGCACGAAAGCGUGGGGAUCAAACAGG
rnacentral:rRNA from 1 species